GCAGAGAGCUGUUGCUUUUCCUAGUUGCUCUCUUCCAGGCUCUGACCAAAGGUCAGCAUGGCCCAUGGAAAGCAACGAGAACUUGCCCGCCAGAAACACUUGAAGAAAACCCAAGAAAUUAGCAAAGGAAAAAGAAAAGAGGAUAGCUUGACUAACUCUCAGAGAAGGCAGGAUUCUGAGAUCAUGCAGCAAAAGCAGAAGGCAGCUAAUGAGAAUUCUAUGCAGACAAGAGAAAAAUGAUGACUGGCUAUUCAGAAAACCUGGGUACUACUGCCAACUGGGUGUAUCAUAAGCUCUAAGGUCAAGAUUUUGUAGUGUGAAUGGUCAUUACAUAUGUUAUAACUUAUUCUUCU